ACGGGAGGCAGCAGUGAGGAAUAUUGGUCAAUGGGCGGAAGCCUGAACCAGCCAUGCCGCGUGAAGGAAUAAGGCCCUAUGGGUCGUAAACUUCUUUUGUACGGGAGCAAUAAGGGUCACGCGUGAUCCGAUGAGAGUACCGUACGAAUAAGCAUCGGCUAACUCCGUGCCAGCAGCCGCGGUAAUACGGAGGAUGCAAGCGUUAUCCGGAUUUAUUGGGUUUAAAGGGUGCGUAGGCGGCUUAGCAAGUCAGGGGUGAAAUACCGGGGCCUAACUCCGGAACUGCCUUUGAUACUGUGAGGCUUGAAUACUGUUGCCGUGGGAGGAAUGAGUAGUGUAGCGGUGAAAUGCAUAGAUAUUACUCAGAACACCGAUUGCGAAGGCAUCUCACGAAGCAGGGAUUGACGCUGAGGCACGAAAGCGUGGGGAUCAAACAGGAUUAGAUACCCUGGUA
rnacentral:rRNA from 1 species